rnacentral:lncRNA from 1 species
CAGGACUUCACUGUUUUAGCUGAUUUCCUGUAGAAAGUGUGGCUAAGUUUAAUUGAAAGAAAUGUCUUCUUACUAGAACUGAUUUUGGGGGACUUCAUCCACUCUUACUUGGAACACUAACUGUUGGCUAUAAGGGUUCAAAAAGGAAGCAACAGUUGCUUAUUUGAGAGAGAUCAUCAUUGCCUGAAUUUAGCUUUGUGACUGCAAGAGCAAGACCAGUUCCUGUCUGGAGACGACUGUUACAAUAAUAUCAUCCUAUUAUUUUAUGUUCACUCUUUAUCAAUUUGAACAGAUGUUUACAUGUACUAUAAUUAGCAUUUUAUCUCUACAGUUCUCUAAGAGUACAUCUGAGUCCAAAGUGUAUCUGAAUGUGUGCUCUGACCUUAUUCUUAAAUGUUUUCUCCCCGUACUUUAUAGCCAUUUAUUUUUUAAACACCUUAAGAAGGAACGAAAAAGUUCUCUUGGAUGACGUAUAUUCAAGUCUGAGCCAAAUUGAGGAUUGUGUCUAGGAAAUCUGUAAAGCCAUACUACUGUGUUCAUUAGCAUGAGCAAUUUAAAAUGAAAAUGAAUUAAAAAGUUAAACAUGAGUUUGGUUUUAAUUUUGGGGGGAUCUUAAGAUAUAUUUCUGGGAGUAGGAUAGCCACUGAAAAUAAUUUUGAAUAGAUGAUAAAGUACUUUUUUAUGUACUGUAAUAGCUUGUGCAUUUCUUCUGAAUAUACUUUCUGAUGUUGCCAAGGUCAUUUACCCAAAUAUUUUUUAAAAAAUUCUUAGCCCUUCAAAGCCAACAAAGAAAAUAAUUUUCUUCCAAGUGACAAAUGAUGAUCUGUGGAUUAUAAAUAUUUUAAAAAUUAUAUGUCUUAACAUAAUUUUUUCACAUUUUUUUGACUUUCAAUCAAGACAUCGAAGACGACCUUUAAAGCAAGAGGAAAUAGUGUUGUGUGCCUAACAUUGGUAAAGACUAGUUUUUAACCAUUUUAAGAAGUGUAUGUCCAAAUUAUUUAUAAGCAGUAUGACUUAAUAUGGCUUAGAAUUACUUAUAAAGAAUCUGAUUAAAUCUCAUCCUAAAUAUGUACCCACAAUAUCCU